rnacentral:rRNA from 1 species
GAUGAACGCUGGCGGCGUGCCUAAUACAUGCAAGUCGGGCGAACGGACGAGAAGCUUGCUUCUCUGAUGUUAGCGGCGGACGGGUGAGUAACACGUGGAUAACCUACCUAUAAGACUGGGAUAACUUCGGGAAACCGGAGCUAAUACCGGAUAAUAUUUUGAACCGCAUGGUUCAAAAGUGAAAGACGGUCUUGCUGUCACUUAUAGAUGGAUCCGCGCUGCAUUAGCUAGUUGGUAAGGUAACGGCUUACCAAGGCAACGAUGCAUAGCCGACCUGAGAGGGUGAUCGGCCACACUGGAACUGAGACACGGUCCAGACUCCUACGGGAGGCAGCAGUAGGGAAUCUUCCGCAAUGGGCGAAAGCCUGACGGAGCAACGCCGCGUGAGUGAUGAAGGCCUUCGGAUCGUAAAACUCUGUUAUUAGGGAAGAACAUAUGUGUAAGUAACUGUGCACAUCUUGACGGUACCUAAUCAGAAAGCCACGGCUAACUACGUG